rnacentral:rRNA from 1 species
GUUCGGAUUGCAGCCUGCAACUCGGCUGCAUGAAGCUGGAAUCGCUAGUAAUCGCGGAUCAGAAUGCCGCGGUGAAUACGUUCCCGGGUCUUGUACACACCGCCCGUCACACCAUGGGAGUAGGUAAUGCCCGAAGUCGGUGACCUAACCGGAAGGAAGGAGCCGCCGAAGGCAGGACUUAUAACUCGGGGUGAAGUCGUAACAAGGUACC